UACGGAGGGGGCUAGCGUUGUUCGGAAUUACUGGGCGUAAAGCGCACGUAGGCGGCUUUGUAAGUUAGAGGUGAAAGCCCAGGGCUUAACCCUGGAAUUGCCUUUAAGACUGCAUCGCUAGAAUCGUGGAGAGGUGAGUGGAAUUCCGAGUGUAGAGGUGAAAUUCGUAGAUAUUCGGAAGAACACCAGUGGCGAAGGCGACUCUCUGGGACGGUACUGACGCUGAGACGCGAAAGCGUGGGGAGCGAACAGG
rnacentral:rRNA from 1 species